AUUGAACGCUGGCGGCAGGCUUAACACAUGCAAGUCGAGCGGAGAUGAGGUGCUUGCACCUUAUCUUAGCGGCGGACGGGGGAGUAAUGCUUAGGAAUCUGCCUAUUAGUGGGGGACAACAUUCCGAAAGGAAUGCUAAUACCGCAUACGUCCUACGGGAGAAAGCAGGGGAUCUUCGGACCUUGCGCUAAUAGAUGAGCCUAAGUCGGGUUAGCUAGUUGGGGGGGUAAAGGCCUACCAAGGCGACGAGCGGUAGCGGGGCUGAGAGGAUGAUCCGCCAAGCUGGGACUGAGACACGGCCGAGACUCCUACGGGAGGCAGCAGUGGGGAAUAUUGGACAAUGGGGGGAACCCUGAUCCUGCCAUGCCGCGUGUGUGAAGAAGGCCUUAUGGUUGUAAAGCACUUUAAGCGAGGAGGAGGCUACUGAGACUAAUACUCUUGGAUAGUGGACGUUACUCGCAGAAUAAGCACCGGCUAACUCUGUGCCAGCCGCCGCGGUAA
rnacentral:rRNA from 1 species